rnacentral:rRNA from 1 species
CGCAGGCUGCAACCCGCCUGCGUGAAGUUGGAAUCGCUAGUAAUCGCGGAUCAGCAUGCCGCGGUGAAUACGUUCCCGGGCCUUGUACACACCGCCCGUCACACCAUGGGAGUCGGUAACACCCGAAGUCGGUAGCCUAACCGUAAGGAGGGCGCCGCCGAAGGUGGGAUUGAUGACUGGGGUGAAGUCGUAACAAGGUAGC